rnacentral:rRNA from 1 species
CGGUAAUACGACCGUACCUAGCGUAGUUCGGAAUUACUGGGCUUAAAGAGCUCGUAUGUGGUUAGAAAAGUUGGUGGUGAAAUCCCAAGGCUUAACCUUGGAACUGCCACCAAAACUUUUUAACUAGAGUAUGAUAGAGGAAAGUGGAAUUUCUAGUGUAGAGGUGAAAUUCGUAGAUAUUAGAAAGAACACCGAUUGCGAAGGCAACUUUCUGGAUCAUUACUGACACUGAGGAGCGAAAGCAUGGGUAGCGAAGAGGAUUAGAUACCCUCGUAGUCCAUGCUGUAAACGAUGUGUGCUAGACGUUGGAAAUUUAAUUUUCAGUGUCGCAGCAAAAGCGUUAAGCACACCGCCUGGGGAGUACGACCGCAAGGUUAAAACUCAAAUGAAUUGACGGGGACCCGCACAAGUAGUGGAGCAUGUGGUUUAAUUCGAAGAUACGCGCAGAACCUUACCAACACUUGACAUGUUCGUCGCGACUCUAAGAGAUUAGAGUUUUCGGUUCGGCCGGACGAAACACAGGUGCUGCAUGGCUGUCGUCAGCUCGUGUCGUGAGAUGUUGGGUUAAGUCCCGCAACGAGCGCAACCCCCACUUUUAGUCGCUACCAUUUAGUUGGGCACUCUAAAAGAACUGCCAGUGAUAAGCUGGAGGAAGGCGGGGAUGACGUCAAGUCCUCAUGGCCCUUACGUGUUGGGCUACACACGUGCUACAAUGGUACUUACAGUGAGAAGCAAAGAGGCGACUCUAAGCUAAUCCCUAAAAGGUACCUCAGUUCGGAUUGUACUCUGCAACUCGAGUACAUGAAGCUGGAAUUACUAGUAAUCGCGGAUCAGCGCGCCGCGGUGAAUACGUUCCCGGG